AUUGAACGCUGGCGGAAUGCUUUACACAUGCAAGUCGAACGGCAGCACGGACUUCGGUCUGGUGGCGAGUGGCGAACGGGUGAGUAAUGUAUCGGAAUGUGCCCAGUCGUGGGGGAUAACGUAGUGAAAAUUACGCUAAUACCGCAUACGAUCUAUGGAUGAAAGCGGGGGAUCGCAAGACCUCGCGCGAUUGGAGCGGCCGAUAUCAGAUUAGGUAGUUGGUGGGGUAAAGGCCCACCAAGCCAACGAUCUGUAGCUGGUCUGAGAGGACGACCCGCCACACUGGAACUGAGACACGGUCCAGACUCCUACGGGAGGCAGCAGUGGGGAAUUUUGGACAAUGGGCGAAAGCCUGAUCCAGCCGUUCCGCGUGCAGGAUGAAGGCCCUCGGGUUGUAAACUGCUUUUGUACAGAACGAAAAGGUUUCUACUAAUACUAGGAGCUCAUGACGGUACUGUAAGAAUAAGCACCGGCUAACUACGUGCCAGCCGCCGCAGUAA
rnacentral:rRNA from 1 species